AACCAUUCAAAUAUACCAUAGUUUGUUUAACCUUUCGCCUGUUGGUUGAAGAUGCCUUUCAACAGGUGACUGGUAAGACAAACUGUGGUAUAUACA
rnacentral:pre_miRNA from 2 species